rnacentral:rRNA from 1 species
AGUGAACGCUGGCGGUAGGCCUAACACAUGCAAGUCGAACGGCAGCACAGUAAGAGCUUGCUCUUACGGGUGGCGAGUGGCGGACGGGUGAGGAAUACAUCGGAAUCUACUUUUUCGUGGGGGAUAACGUAGGGAAACUUACGCUAAUACCGCAUACGACCUACGGGUGAAAGCAGGGGAUCUUCGGACCUUGCGCGAUUGAAUGAGCCGAUGUCGGAUUAGCUAGUUUGCGGGGUAAAGGCCCACCAAGGCGACGAUCCGUAGCUGGUCUGAGAGGAUGAUUAGCCACACUGGAACUGAGACACGCUCCAGACUCCUACGGGAGGCAGCAGUGGGGAAUAUUGGACAAUGGGCGCAAGCCUGAUCCAGCCAUACCGCGUGGGUGAAGAAGGCCUUCGGGUUGUAAAGCCCUUUUGUCGGGAAAGAAAAGCAGCAGGUUAAUACCCCGCUGUUCUGACGGUACCCAAAGAAUAAGCACCGGCUAACUUCGUG